AUCCUCCAAGGCUAAAUACUACUGACUGACCGAUAGUGAACUAGUACCGUGAGGGAAAGGCGAAAAGAACCCCGGAGAGGGGAGUGAAAUAGAUCCUGAAACCGUAUGCGUACAAGCAGUGGGAGCCCACUUUGUUGGGUGACUGCGUACCUUUUGUAUAAUGGGUCAGCGACUUAUUUUCAGUGGCGAGCUUAACCGAAUAGGGGAGGCGUAGCGAAAGCGAGUCUUAAUAGGGCGUCUAGUCGCUGGGAAUAGACCCGAAAC
rnacentral:rRNA from 1 species